rnacentral:rRNA from 1 species
UCCCAUUUGGGUAACUGGAUGGGGGAAGUGGCGAAAGGGGCAGUAAUGCAUGGGUAACCUACCCUGGAGUUGGGCAUAGCUAUUCUAACGAAUAGGUAAUUCCCGAUGGUCCAGCGAGAAGACAUCUUUUUGCUGGUAAAGAGUUUCGCUCUGGGAGGGGCCCAUGUGCUAUUAGCUAGUUGGCGGGGUAACGGCCCACCAAGGCUAAGAUGGCUAGCGGGUGUGAGAGCACGACCCGCGCCACUGGCACUGAGACACUGGCCAGACACCUACGGGUGGCUGCAGUCGAGGAUCUUCGUCAAUGGGCGAAAGCCUGAACGAGCGACGCCGCGUGCGCGAUGAAGGCCUUCGGGUUGUAAAGCGCGAAAGUGGGGACGAAGCCGAAAGGUUGACCGAUCCACAGUAAGCUCGGGCUAAGUUCGUGCCAGCAGCCGCGGUAAGACGAACCGAGCGAACGUUGUUCGGAAUCACUGGGCUUAAAGGGCGCGUAGGCGGGUAUUCAAGUCUGUGGUGAAAUCCGGCAGCUCAACUGUCGAAUUGCCGUGGAUACUGGGUAUCUCGAGGGAGGUAGGGGCGUGCGGAACUAAUGGUGGAGCGGUGAAAUGCGUUGAUAUCAUUAGGAACUCCGGGUGGCGAAGGCGGCACGCUGGACCUCUUCUGACGCUGAGGCGCGAAAGCCAGGGGAGCAAACGGGAUUAGAUACCCCGGUAGUCCUGGCCCUAAACGUUGGGUACUAGAUAGUAGCCUUCACAUGGGGUUACUGUCGAAGCAAAAGUGCUAAGUA